rnacentral:tRNA from 1 species
GCCGAUGUAGCUCAGAUGGCAGAGCGCGUCCUUGGUAAGGACGAGGUCACGGGUUCAAGUCCCGUCAUUGGCU